rnacentral:rRNA from 1 species
UACGUAGGCAGCAAGCGUUGUUCGGAGUUACUGGGCGUAAAGGGUGCGUAGGCGGGUUUUUAAGUCAGGGGUGAAAUCCUGGAGCUCAACUCCAGAACUGCCUUUGAUACUGAAGAUCUUGAGUCCGGGAGAGGUGAGUGGAACUGCGAGUGUAGAGGUGAAAUUCGUAGAUAUUCGCAAGAACACCAGUGGCGAAGGCGGCUCACUGGCCCGGUACUGACGCUGAGGCACGAAAGCGUGGGGAGCAAACAGG